GUUUCGGCGGGUUCCGGGGCGGGCUUGAAUGCAGGAGGGCGAGCGGGAGAAUGCGGAGGUGCGUGAGGAGUGCGGAGCAGAGAAACCGCGACAACGGUCGCGGAGCAGGGACAAAGAGAAGGAGAGCGAGGAGCCGGCGGCGGAGGCCCUCGGGUGGGACAUCGACGCCGACCUGGAGCUCACCGGGGAGGGCGACGCCAAGCUCUCCCUCCAGAGGAUGCUCUCGGCCGGACACAACCAGCCCAGCCCGGCCGCCCUCCGCAGGCGUCUCCACCACCCCCCAAGACGCUCCGCUACCAUGACCUUCCAGCAAACGUGGCGGAGCAGCACAUCUGACAUCGAAUCUCUCUCUCAAAGAAGUCCAUCAUCAUCAAGGUAA
rnacentral:lncRNA from 1 species